AUCCAGAUGUCCAGUCCCAAAUAGGACGAAAUGCGCGUUAUCCUGGAU
rnacentral:hammerhead_ribozyme from 1 species